GAUGAACGCUAGCUACAGGCUUAACACAUGCAAGUCGAGGGGCAGCGGUAUCGAAAGCUUGCUUUCGGUAGCCGGCGACCGGCGCACGGGUGAGUAACGCGUAUCGAACCUGCCUCAUACUCGGGAAUAGCCUUGCGAAAGUAAGACUAAUGCCCGGUGUUUUCAGAGUCCCGCAUGAGGCUUUGAACAAAGAUUCAUCGGUAUGAGAUGGCGAUGCGUCCCAUUAGCUUGUUGGCGGGGUAACGGCCCACCAAGGCAUCGAUGGGUAGGGGUUCUGAGAGGAAGGUCCCCCACAUUGGAACUGAGACACGGUCCAAACUCCUACGGGAGGCAGCAGUGAGGAAUAUUGGUCAAUGGGCGGAAGCCUGAACCAGCCAAGUAGCGUGCAGGAAGACGGCCCUCCGGGUUGUAAACUGCUUUUAGUUGGGAAUAAAACGGGGCUCGUGAGCCCCCUUGCAUGUACCAUCAGAAAAAGGACCGGCUAAUUCCGUGCCAGCCGCCGCAGUAA
rnacentral:rRNA from 1 species